rnacentral:rRNA from 1 species
GACGAACCGAGCGAACGUUGUUCGGAAUAACUGGGCUUAAAGGGCGCGUAGGCGGGCCGCCAAGUUCGAGGUGAAAUCCUCCGGCUCAACCGGAGAACUGCCUCGAAUACUGGAGGUCUCGAGGCGGGUAGGGGCACGCGGAACUGUGGGUGGAGCGGUGAAAUGCGUUGAUAUCCACAGGAACUCCGGUGGCGAAGGCGGCGUGCUGGACCCGAUCUGACGCUGAGGCGCGAAAGCCAGGGGAGCAAACGGG